UGAGAUGUAUCUGUAAAAAAGGGGAUAGCAAUGAGGAAAUUCAAUCAUUUCAGAUGGAAAGGAUGAUAAAAGGAUUUUUAGCAGGCGAGACCAGGUAGCGACUUAUUAUAGUGAAAAUUUAGUGAUGUGCUAUAUGAGGUCCAUGUUAUUUUGACAAUUGUGUUGAGUAUCAACGAGCGUGCAAAUUAUCAAAAGGUAGGAAGUGGUGGAGAAUGUUUUGGUUUGCAGCCUUUGGUCUAUCUGGCUC